rnacentral:tmRNA from 1 species
GGGGAUGACUGGUUUCGACGGGUACCUGAGGGUUAUGAGGAGCAGUCUAGUGGCUAAGUAAUAGCUAACAAAAAAUAACUGGCGAAAGACAAUUCGCAUUCGCAGCUUAAUUUCACAAGGAAAGAUAAGUGCGACGUCAAUACUAGCCAUAUCUAGUAACUAGUAUUGGUGUCAUUUUACUAGGUUAGGUGCUAUAAAAGCUUAUAAUAUAGUAAUGAAAAUCAAUAAGCUGGCUAAUAAGACUUUUGCUUAUUUAUAAUGUAUUAGUGAGAUUUUAAAAUAAGAUAAACUGUAGUGCCUUAUAAAGGACGGUAUUCGGACAGGGGUUCAAUUCCCCUCAUCUCCACCA